CCUAGGCACAGUACCUGGACAGACCUGGCUAUCCAGUAGCACCUAUUCUAACCUUACAGGGCAGAGCCAGGUGAAACAUCAGAACAGGGAGAAGACUCUAGAAACUGAGAAUUGACUUGAAUUUGACUUAGAUUUCAACGCACUUAUUAAGUAACUACUGUGCAUUGGGCCUGUGCUAGUGCCAGGGACACAAAGACCAGGAUAGCACGGGCUGUUUCUCAAGAAGCUCUCAGGCUGCUGGGGGAGAAAGGCACAGGAACGAAGUGGCAGUGCCUUGUGGAGAGAAAACACUUGGCCAAAGCUCUUCACUGAGGGACCUGAAUUCAGAAGACCUGAACUGCAGCCAAGAUGCCAACCCUGUCUCUACAGCAAUGACAACCGGAGGACCCUCCCAUUUGGAAACCUUAACCUCUAUUAUGCUGAGGAACAGUUUGGAAUGGACGUCCGAUGACCCCAGGACAGUGAGCCAGCUUGGGUGAGGAGCCCAUAGGUGGUCAAGCACACAGCAAUGCUUCAGGCCUCUGGACACAAUCUUCUACAGGAGCAAUAACCAGAAGGGAGCUAGUGCACUGACUGUGGGAAGCAAGGAAUCACACUGUUCUUUACUGCAUACAAAAUUCCCCCACGUUGAGAUUGUUUCUGGAAUCAUAAAAGGGGUCUUUCUUGGGGACAACAAUUGCCACCUGGCCUUGUCCUCUAAGUCUGCUCAGGUGGGUUACAAUCUACCUGGAUGCACUGGUCUGAUUCUCGUGCCCUUCAGUCUGUGCCACACACAGUGAGGCUGAUAAAUUAUGAGUGAGUCACUUGAAGCCAGGCCCAUGUCCUCAAUUUGUGUAUCCAACCCAGGGCUGAGCUGGAGAUGGCCUGGCUUCUUCUAACAACGCCUUCGUCCUCAACAGGUGCUGCUGGUUACAAAGUAUUCUCUUUGUCCUUAUUCUGAAAAAUCCCAUUUCGAAAUCCUGGUGAAUUCUCCGAGAAUCCCAUCUCAGGGUUGGGAGGACAAGUCUUGCUGAGAGGUCCUCAUUCAAAGUCUGGCAUUCAGUGAGACAGCAGUUGAGGCUCCUCAGUUUUGGAUAGGUCUCCUUUGGGUGGAUGGAAAUGGUGGGAAG
rnacentral:lncRNA from 1 species